UGCGUAGGCGGAAUGAUAAGUUAGUGGUGAAAGCCCCCGGCUCAACCGGGGAACUGCCAUUAAUACUGUCAUUCUUGAGUAUAGUUGAAGUGGGCGGAAUGUAUCAUGUAGCGGUGAAAUGCUUAGAUAUGAUACAGAACACCGAUAGCGUAGGCAGCUUGCUAAGCUAUAACUGACGCUCAGGCACGAAAGCGUGGGGAGCAAACAGGAUUAGAUACCCUGGUAGUCC
rnacentral:rRNA from 1 species